GAUGAACGCUGGCGGCGUGCCUAAUACAUUCAAGUCGAGCGAACAGAUUAUGAUCUUGCUCCUCUUACUUUAGCUGCUUACGUGUGAUUAACACGUUUAUAACCUACCUAUAAGACUUUGAUAACUUCGGGAAACCGGCUCUAAUACCGUAUAAUAUAUUUAACCGCAUUGUUCAAUAUUUAAAGACGUUUUUUCUGUCACUUAUAGAUUUAUCCGCGCCGCAUUAGCUAGUUGUUAAGUUAACGGCUUACAAAGGCAACGAUGCGUAUCCGACCUGAGAGGGAGAUCGGAGAAAAUGGAACUGAGAAAAGGAAAAGACGACUAAGGGAGGCAGCAGUAGGGAAUAUUACGAAAUGGGCGAAAGAAUGAAGGAGCAACGACGCGUGAGUGAUGAAGGUAUUAGGAUCGUAAAAAUCUGUUAUUAGGGAAGAAAAAAUGUGUAAGUAACUAUGCACGUAGUGACGGUAAAUAAUCAGAAAGCAACGGCUAACUACGUG
rnacentral:rRNA from 1 species